AGCAAGGAGUUAGCACGGGUUUCUAAAGCUAAGAGCGGAUGUUGUUUCCAUGGUGAUGGAUCUGUUAGCUAGCCUCGUUCGCUAAAUCCGGGUUGCUCGCGCGUGUUUCCGGUUUCUUGUUAUGUUUAAAGUAGAAAUGUCAUCCGGAGAUCAUGAUUUAGAAUUCGCCGAUGAUAUUUCUUUUUCUGAACUUCAUCCGAAAGAGGCAGCGCGAGCUGAAGCUGAAACUCGAAGUGCAUCUCUGGAUCUGGGACUCAACUGUCUGACACUGGACGAACUCAGUGAGGAGCUUGACAAACGCAUAAAGGAAACACAGAGGCUCCAGGAAGAGAUGGAAAUGGAAACCAGGGAAGCCUUGGAGAAGUUUGGCUGCACGUCCAGGAGCGGCUUGUCUGCACAGACGCUCCGCCAUGCAGAUGACUCAUCUGAAGGUUCAGGCGUUCCUUCAGCCCACCAGCAGCCUCUGACUCAUCCUUCACACCAGGAGGGUGUCCUCAAGGAGGGAUGCUCCUUCGGAAUGGAUGAAGUGGACGAGAAUCUUCAACAAUUAUCUGCUUUAAACAAGUUUGCUUUUUCACCUGAAGUGGAAAAAGAGAGAAAAAGUCCUCAGAGAGAAAUGAUGAAGUUGCAGGAAAAACUUCAUGAAGCUCAGAUAGAAAAUGACUUCCUGUCUGACCUGAGACUGAAGGAUUCGAGGAAACAUGUUGAUCAGAUGGAAACGAUGCUGCAGAUGCUGGAAGAAGUUCAGAGCAUCAAAAGAUCUGCUGACAGGGAGCUCCAGCAGAGCGAAGAGGAGGCCACGCCUCUUCACAGGAAGGUAGAGGCGCUGGAGCGAACGAUGAAGGAGGUGUGUGAAAGUCUGUGGGAGGAACCCAACAGAACCCAACAGAACCUGAGGGAGGAUGGCACAGACAGACUGGAGGACGGACUCCCAAAAAAACCUGAGAGUGAAGUUCAGAGAGGACUCCACAAACGAGAACGGAUUCCAGAGCUGAUUUCCAGUCUUGGCCAGGAGGUGGCGCUGCUGACCCACAGACUGAGCUCCUCAAAGGACAGCAGCCUUCGUCUGUCCAUCAGGAUGGAGCAGCUGAAGAAACUGGCCGAGCGGCAGACAUCUCUGCACAGACGGCAGGUGAGGGACCUGGAGGCGGCGCUGUCCUUCUUCAGAGAGAAGGUUUGUUUUCUGGAGCAGCGACUGUCGGAGACUCGACUUCAGCGGUUGGGCUCUCAGACGGAAAGGACAGGAACUCUACAGUCUCUGGAAGGUCUGCAGGCUCAGCUCGGACGGCUGAAGCUGCAGACGCUUGAGUUCCAGGUCUGGAAGGAGCAGCUGGAGGUCACCAGGAAGCAGGAGGAGAAAACCUCCCUGCAGCUCCGACUGGAGCAGAGGAGCCGGGAGGCCAAUCGAUCCCAGGAGCUCCUGCAGAAGAAAUACCAGGAACUUCAGGUUCUUCUGCAGGAAACCCAGCAGCAUCUUUCCGGUCAGACUCUGCAGGCCGAGCGAGAAGCUCUGAGGCUGGAAGACGAGAAGAAAAGCAGGAAUGAUCUGAAGCUCCAGAUGGAGACGGCAGAGCACAGCCACAGCGUGGAGAAGCUCCAGCAGGAAAACAGCCUCUUCACCAAACAGCUGCAGCAGCAGAAGCUGCAGAUCCAGCAGCUCAGGGUGGAGCUGCUGCAGCAGAAGUCCGAGCUGGCAGCCGCAGAGCGGGAAAGCAGACGACUGCAGAGUCAGAGAACGCAGGAGGAAACUCUGGAGCAGCUGCAGCUGCAGAGCCGCACCAAGGAGCUUCACAGCUGGAAGAAGGACGAGCACGCACGCGUGGUGCUGCAGCUCCAGAGUCAGCUGAGGAGCGCCCGAGAGGAGCUGGAAAAGACUCGACACAACCUGAAGACUCUGGAAGGAGCGGAGCGUCAAGGUCUGCAGGCGGCCUUCAGCAUGCAGACGGAGGUCACCUCCCGAAGAGAGCAGGUCGACGCUCUGCAGAGUCGAGUCAGACGCCUGGAGGAGGAGGUGGACAACCUGCUGCAGGAGAAGCGCCUCCAGCAGCUGGAGCUCCAGCGGCAGCUCCGGAAGGUUUCCGUCUUCGAGGAAGAGAGGAGGCAACUCCAGGAGGAGCUGAGGAGCCUCCGAUCCAGAGACCAGCAGCUAAAGGGGAGAGUCGGCGACCUGGAGGCCACGCUUCACAAAAUGUUGGAAAGCUUCACGAGCUGCCGUGAUUUCCUUCAAGCGAGGGAGCAGGACUACAUCCGUCUGAAGCUCCAGCACGCUCUGGACUUGAAGGAGCUCCAAGGUCGAUACUUGACCACACCCCCAUCUAAUGUGGACUCGGCGACCUCGCCGGCAGACGCCGCUCCACCCUCGACCCUUCGAGCCUCCAACAGCCAGAACCAGCCCAUCAGGCAGCAGCAGAGCUGCAGCUGUGAGCUCAGAUGUUCUGCAGGAGAUCCUCAUGGAGGAGCUUCAGAGACCUGCAGAGCUCCCAGGGAGCGGGGAGGCGCCGGCAGCUGCUCCUGCAGGAGGAGGGAGAACACAAGCACACACAAACAGGAAGUGAACUUUGGCUCCAAACUCAGGAGGAAGACGUUCUGCAGUGAUCUUCAUCUUCUGCAAACAUCUAAGCUGAAACAGAUCAAACUGGAUCAAAGUCAGAAUGCCGCCCCCCCUCCCGUGGCCCCCCCAUCCCCUGAGAGCAGCCCCGAGGCCCGGGACAAUGAGGCAACACUCAGUGACAGUACUGGUGAGGGUCCGGGCCCAGACGGUUCCUCUCGGCCUGAAACAUCAAAUGAUGCGAUAAAACCGAACCGUUUGGAUUUGGUAGAGACGCCGUUUGGGGUCCACACGUGAGAACAGCAUGCUGGGAGGUCGUGUGUGGGUGGAGCUCAGGUGAAAUGUCCACAUCACAGUGUGCAAGCUGGCACAAGUCUUCACAGAGAAAAGGUUGGAGCCCUCUAAGUCAGGACAUGUUCAGCUGUCAAAACAACAGGAACCUUUUCCAUGAAUGAUCUACGCUGGGUGUGACCCAUCUGUGAUGACUGUGUGAGGGAGGGGGCCGUCAUUUAUUCCACAGAAACCUGCUGAGACGUCCCACUCACGAUUCUGAGUAAGCCUCCAGUUGAGGUAUGCAGCUGCUGUUGUCUGUAAACAAGGACCGGGGCAACUUAUUGCCCCAGGUGUCCUGUUUCAGCCCCGGAGGCUUCCAGUGCCUCAGAAUCCUAAAGAAACGUCACCUUUGACCUUUUCUAAAUUUAAGGUUUGAAGGCCUCUCAACAGGCUCUGAAGAAGUGGUGGUUCCUUCCAUCCAACCUUUGUAAGAACUCCUACAGAACAGUCACGCGUAAGUUCAGUUAUUGGAUUGCAUUAGAUUUAAAGUCUCAGUAGCUGUCACGCAUCAAAAUGUAUGCAAGUCGUUCUCUACAUUUGACCCCUCCCCCGGGGCAGCGGUGAGCUGCAGACACAAAGACUAUUUGGUGGUUCAACCCCCCAGUCCAAGCCCUAAUUCUCUGUGUCAAGCAGGGAGACACUAAGUCCAGUUUUUAGUCGUUAGUAUGACUCGGCUGUAGGUUUGAACUCACGACCUUCCAGUCUCAGGGCGGACACUCCACCACAAGGCCACUCAGCUGUUGUGAUGAAUCAGUGGUUUGUUGCAGCAAAGUCAGUCUGCUUUCUCCUCUUUUACACUAAACAUUUACAGAACCGUUUAGUUACUUGUUGGGACACAUUUGCUGAUUUCUUCUCAACACAAGGAGAACAUCGAGUCCUCUAAGGAACUGUCCUGCGUGCAAACAGAUCAACCAAAACAAAGGAAUUUGUGAGAAAUAAAAUCUGUUUGUAUACAUUCAAAGGCUCUCUGUACGGUUCUACGGGCUGCCUACGGUGGAUUUGUGGAGGGUCACGGAGAGGAGUGGCUAUAUCUUAACCCUUGAGCUAUCCUUGUGGGGUGACCCAAGCCUUACAUUGACGUGCUAUGAAAAAGUUCUGCGCACGGUCUUGUUGGGUCCAGAUGACCCCACUCCAAACGGGCACAGUUGUGUCUUACAGUUCCCUUGAGGGUCGUACGGCCACCUUAAGGCAGUGGUCUCCAACCCCCGGGCCGCGGACCGGCACCGGUCUUUGCAUCACUUGGUACCAGAACACAAACAGAAACAAAUGAAGAAAUACACUAACUUAGAUUAUUUCCGUUGUAUUUCCGUUUCGUUUAGUUUCUGAUCCUGAAGGAAGUUUUUCUUUAAAGGACUUCUGGAUUCUGUUCACAACAUCGUCGGUCAUGCAACUUAAAGCAGCUACCUGGAUGGCUAACUACAUCGCUAAGCUAGUAGCUAAAAAGCUAAAUACAAAAACCAAAGAAUAAAACAUUUUUGGAAAGUGUCUUCGAGGAGAAAAGGUCCAGCGAGGAAACCAAAGAAAAGCCUUUGACUGCACAAAACAAUAAAGCUGCUGUUUACAGACAAAACCGGGAGUUUUCCCAGACAAACGGAAUUAUCGAGACAGUUCUCAUGUAGCAGAAGCCGCUCUGUCUGAUACGCAGCAACAAACUCUGGAGUGUUUCACACGCAGAUAAUAAAGUUGGAGACACAGUGGUUUCACGUUUUUAUUUAGAGCAUACUAAUUUUACGACAAUUUGUUUGGCUGUAUUUAUCCAUCACACCUUAAAUGUCGGACGUAGCUGAAGCUAGCAUCAGUUGUUAGCCUUCACUUUGACGUUUAAGGGAAAAUCUUAAUCACAAAGUUCAAACCAGCCGCAAAGAUUUCAGGGAGAAUGAAUACAGUCACUGCACAUGCCCCCUUAUAGACGAAGCCUCGCUAUAAUCUCGUGAUAAUUACACCAAAUCUCGCGAUACCUUGGGCAGUGGGCUUAGCGAAACGUGUUAGACGUUUUCAAACAAAAUUUCUUGCAGUAGCAUUCUACUAUGAAAAUAGAUUUUCAUAAACCGGAAGCUUAAAAAUUCCAACUUUGACCCCAUUCAGACCGGUCUGUGAAAAUAUUAUCCAAUUUGAACCGGUCUGUGGCUUGAAAAAGGUUGGGGACCAAUGCCUUAAGGGACGUCAUGAAAAUGGAAUGUACCAUUGUCAUGGGUGUGGUAGGUGUAUCGUGAAGUAUUCGUAAGGAUAGUGGAAGUUAGGCGCACUUAUGGUAUACGGGUGAUGCUGUCGUACGGUGUCCUUACGCCACACUCUCGUCAUUAGUAGCCCAAUCAGGCAAUUUUUUGUGAUAUAGGCCAUAUAAGUAAAAUUGAACUGAAUAGUAAGGUGUGAGGACAGGCUCUUUAUUGACCGCACACAAAUGCUGCACGCAUGUGGGUUCACUGAGCGGUCCACCACCUUAAUAUUUCAUGCAGGUAACCUGCAUACCAGUACCGGUUUGACCAUUUUUCUCCCGCAGAAAGCCUUUAUCCACCCGCAAGGACAGCUGGGACAAAGACUUGAAGUUUCAGAUAAGAAUAAUGUAUAUGUUGAAUUAUUGCAAUGAAAUCUGGACUGCAAACAGUCCUCUGUUUCAGGAGUGUUAACAUGUGCAGCGUUAAACCUCUCCGAGCCAGUUCUUACUUUAAGAAAUGGGAUGUCAUUUGGUGAAAUUCUGUCAGUAAAUUUCGAGAAACACUGAACAAUUUGUGCAUCAUGCUAUAGAGUUCUGGCGUGGGGGAGUUGGCCCUAAAUAGACAAACAAAUGAACCCACUUUCAUUUCCCUCGUUUCAGUCAAAACUCUGAGGACCUUCCAGCCUUUUAGUACCGCGGGGCGUUGCACAGCACGCCACAAAACAACCGCGGUUUCACAGCAAACCCCAAGAAACUUCAGCAAAAAGGAAACCUAUAGGUUUUUACCAUUUUACUAAAGGUAUUUCAGACAUUAAAGAGAUUAUUGAAUAGAAAUUAAGCAGUUUAACAUUUUUGUCUUAACAUUUGGUGGGUUUUAAAUCAAUAAACCUUACAUUUUGGCCUCUCAGUUAAUUAAAUCAAAGUUUUUAAUUCUUAAACUAUUUAAAGUCUGAAAUAAUGUUUUAUAGAUCAUAAAUGUAUAUUGGAUUCAAAACACUUGAAUUGUGUGUACGCUAUUCAUAUUUAUAUGCUGUUAAUCACUUUAUGACUGCAAUUGUUCACUCUAGUUUACAGCUUUAUUGAAGGACUGGCACCCUUCUAUUUACUGACACGUGCAGAAUUCAAAAGCAAACAUCAUGAUUUUUAUUUUGAGGAAAAACUACACUCAGUACAAAUCAAACAUGAUGAUAUUCAGAUUUGAGCUCAAACUCCCCAUAAAAGGCCACAGCAGCAAAACCAAAAUCCAUCUUUAAAAGACAAAUGCAAAAAAAGUCAAUGUUUUAAGGUUUUGUAAUUUUUUACAAUUCAAUAUUAAUUAUUAUUUGUUUUAAAUUUGUUUGUAAAUUAUGGUGCAGUCUUUUUUCAAACUUGUUUUAACUAAAAGAGUUCUGAAAUGCUUAAAUAAAGGAAAUGAAUGGAAAUAAAACAAUCAAAAUUUCUUGGUUUAAUAUUUUGUGCUGUUUAUUUAAUUUAUGUUUUAUUUCCUUCAUUGGUAUUGGUGUAAUUUUAUUAAAUUCACUCAUUUUCAGCUCUAGAAAAGGAUAAAUUGUGGUUUUUGGUGAGAAAUGAUUUAAAGAAUGUAAAUUAAGUAUUUUUCCUGUGUGGUAAAAUAUGUUUCUAUCGGAUAAUAAAGUCUUUUAGAUGUUUUUAGAGCUGCAGGAGCCGGUACAGAGGAGUCCUGCCGCCGCUGCUCCUCUCUUCGGCUCCGCUUCUCCCGCUGCUCCGCCACCUUUAUGGGAGCCCCGCCCUGAAAUCAGUCGAUGAAGUCCAGCGCGGCUCUCCACACGCCGAGCCAAUCAGAUGCCGGGAGGGGUGGUCUUCUGCCGGUGGUCCGUGGGGCCGGCAGCCAAUCAGAGCGCGCCCUCGCCACACAAAGCGCUCGCGUCAACGGCCGUUGGUCGUUUGAACGGGACAUUAUUCAUGUGGGGGCGGGGCUUAUUUAAGGAGUCACGAUGGGGCGAGAUAGCGGUUUGCAUAUACAAGUAACGGAAAGACAAACGCGAAGGUUUUUUUGUUGUUUCGUGACAAAAACCGGAUGAAGUUUCAAUUUAGAAGUUAAAGACCCCCCCCAC